UUGACCUCAAAUCAGGCGGGACUACCCGCUGAACUUAAGCAUAUCAAUAAGCGGAGGAAAAGAAACUAACAAGGAUUCCCCUAGUAACUGCGAGUGAAGCGGGAUGAGCUCAAAUUUAAAAUCUGGCGUCUUCGGCGUCCGAGUUGUAAUUUAGAGAAGCGUUUUCCGCGCAGGACCGUGUACAAGUCUCCUGGAACGGAGCGUCAUAGAGGGUGAGAAUCCCGUCUUUGACACGGACCCCCUGUGCUCUGUGAUACGCUCUCGAAGAGUCGAGUUGUUUGGGAAUGCAGCUCAAAAUGGGUGGUGAACUCCAUCUAAAGCUAAAUAUUGGCGAGAGACCGAUAGCGAACAAGUACCGUGAGGGAAAGAUGAAAAGCACUUUGGAAAGAGAGUGAAACAGUACGUGAAAUUGUUGAAAGGGAAACGCUUGAAGUCAGUCGCGUCCGCCGGGAUUCAGCCGCAAGGUGUACUUUCCGGUGGACGGGCCAGCAUCACUUUCGAUCAUCGGAAAAGGGCGAGUGGAAUGUGGCACCUCCGGGUGUGUUAUAGCCUCUCGCCGUAUACGGUGACCGGGAGUGAGGACCGCCUUUUUGUAGGAUGCUGGCGUAAUGGCUUUAAACGACCCGUCUUGAAACACGGACCAAGGA
rnacentral:rRNA from 1 species